rnacentral:RNase_P_RNA from 1 species
GCAGAAGCACGGUCUGUCGCUUGGAGCAAAGGCUUCAAGAGGAAAGUCCGGGCAACUCAGGGCAGCAUGUUUCCUAACGGGAAGCCGGCGGCGACGCCGGGGAUAAGUGACAGAAAACAACCGCCCUCUCUUCGGGAGACGGGUAAGGGUGAAAAGGCGGGGUAAGAGCCCACCGGGCCGUAUGGCGACAUACGGCGCCGCACAUCCCAUGUGUUGCAAGGCCAAAUAUACCGGCAGUCAAGGAUGGCCCGUCCAUUGCCGGGGGGUAGGCUGCUUGAGCCUGCGGGCAACCGUGCGGCUUAGAUAAAUGACAGACACCGCCUCCGGGGCGGCACAUAACCCGGCUUACAGGGCUUCUGCCUAU